rnacentral:rRNA from 1 species
ACGAACGCUGGCGGCGUGCUUAACACAUGCAAGUCGAACGGAAAGGCUCCAGCUUGCUGGAGUACUCGAGUGGCGAACGGGCGAGUAACACGUGGGUAAUCUGCCCUGCACUCUGGGAUAAGCCUGGGAAACUGGGUCUAAUACUGGAUAUGACCUUUCUCCUUAUGGGGUUUGGUGGAAAGUUUUUCGGUGUAGGAUGAGCCCGCGGCCUAUCAGCUUGUUGGUGGGGUGAUGGCCUACCAAGGCGACGACGGGUAGCCGGCCUGAGAGGGUGAUCGGCCACAUUGGGACUGAGAUACGGCCCAGACUCCUACGGGAGGCAGCAGUGGGGAAUAUUGCACAAUGGGCGGAAGCCUGAUGCAGCGACGCCGCGUGAGGGAUGACGGCCUUCGGGUUGUAAACCUCUUUCAGCAGGGACGAAGCGUAAGUGACGGUACCUGCAGAAGAAGCACCGGCUAACUAUGUG